rnacentral:sRNA from 1 species
AAGCCGGGUUUACCCGGUGAGGCGCAAUGUUGCGGGGGCUUGAGCCCCGGCGGCAUAGGUUGCUGGAUAGAGAAAACCCCCGCACGUUGACUGGUAUAAACCUGGCAACCUGACGGGGGCUA